UUCAAUGGGUACACUCUCUCUUCAUUCUCAACUUAAUCCCGAUAUUUUUUCUUGUUCAAAAAUGAACCCAUAUCUGGCUCUCUGUCGGUGCCAGCUUUCGAAUGAUUCUUGCCACCUCUGCCAUUUCCUGUAGUUGUGAACCAUGAAACGCUCUCCAGGGGAGUUGCAGAGAGGCGCUGACGAGGAACGAUCGAUUGUCGUUAUGAGAUCCAACAAUAGAUUCUUUGGGAGGGAGCAGGAGCGCCCUUAGCAUCUGGGUGGGCAAGAUCAGAUGAUCCAUCGUCAGUUCCUUCUCUCUUUACUUCCUCUUUCUAGAAUCUGCGUUGUGGACUGGGGGAACACACCCGAUCUAUUCGGAAGAACCUUUUCAUUAUAUGUUCCACUAGAUCUGGUUUCAUUGUGUCCGCCCAAUGGAUCAAGUACUAAGGACUUCAAUUGUUCCUUCAUUUAGGAAUCAUGAUGUUGCAAAUUCAAUGGAAGUUGUUCUUGUUGAUGCAGAUAUAUGAUUGGAUUGCUAACUUCUGUUGGUGAAGAAAAAGAGUAUGUGAAAGACGACAAAGUGAUGAAGGUUGACAAUACCCUGUGUUCUAUUUGGGGAGUACAUGGAUGAAGUGCAUCAUUUCUUAGGUUCUGGUUAUAUGGAGCAGCCAGUUGUUGUGAUUCAACUUGCCAAAGUUAAAUUCUUUAGGGGACAAGUUGGUCUACAAAAUAUUAUGCAUGCUACUCGCCUGUUCUUUAAUCCUAAUUUGGCUGAAGUUGUUGAUCUCAAAAACAGUAUGGUUGAUCAAGGUAUCAAUGGAACACAACCAUUGUUUAUUGCUAAUGAGGGCAAGGGUGUUUUAUUGGAAGAUGAUUUUAUAUGGCUUACUUGAAGGUGCACUAUUGAGGAACUUCAUGAUAACAAUGAGGAAGGGUCUUUUGUGAUUUUUGGUAUUGUGAGAUCUAUUGUGGAAGAAGGACCUUGGUGGUAUUCAGCUUGUGUUUGUGGGAAGUCAAUUCAGCCUCAAGGUGGUGCAUAUUAUUGUGAUUUUUGUCAGUACUAUAUUACCAAUGUGACUCCUAGGUUUGUUGUGUUUAUUCUGUUUGGGGAGGUUCAAAAGGAUGCAAGUGUAUGGUUUAUGCUUUUUUUCUUGUUGUUGAAUUUAGUAAUGGAUAAGGUCUGUUUGUGUCAUGUAUAAUUGUAUCUUUACUGUGCUUGAGUGUGUCAUUGGUCCUUGAUUUUUCUAAGAACUAUGUGUUCAAAUUAUUUCACAGGUUGUUUGUGGAAAUCGUUAUCCUGUGAGUUCUAACAAUUGCUGGGGAAAAAAUUGCUUCUUAAGAUGGAUACCAAGAGUGUUGGUGCUGAUAAAUAUUUCGAAACUUUUCAUGUGAGAAGAGUUUCCGAUGAUGCUGCUAUUAUUGCCAUGUUUGAGUUGUUUAACUAUGAUGCUGAUGAUGAGCGUAUUCCAGUCAAGGAUGGUUCUUUGGGAAAGAUCUCUUUAAGUGACCAUGAAUAUAUUGUUGGCAAGAAAGAUCUGUGUGAGGUGUUGGGCGAGGAUAUUUCUUCUGAUUGGAUUUGUCUCAAUGUGAAGACAAACUGCGAACUUUUUAUUGAUUUUCUUGGUGAAAAGGAUGUUGAAGUUCUUGGAUUGGAUGAUAUAAGCAGUAAAAUUGAUAUUAUGAAACAGAAAGGAAAAACUGAAACAAGUUUUUUAAACACUAUUUUUCUACCAUGAGUGUUGUUGCAUGUAGAAGUGAUUACAAAAGGUAGACAUUGUAUUAUUUUUGUCUUCUAUUAAUGAUUUCUUGUUAUAUAUGUUCUAAACAUACUGAAUGGACUUGAUUUAGGCGUUUCUUUAGCACAAGAUAACAUUGGCCAAAUGAUAAAGAAUCAAGAAUUAUAUUUGGUGCAUACAAAGGACGGGUACACAUUUAAACUGAUAUAUACUUUGUGCCUUUUUUU